UACGGGGGGGGCAAGCGUUGUUCGGAAUUACUGGGCGUAAAGGGCUCGUAGGCGGCCAACUAAGUCGGAUGUGAAAUCCCCAGGCUUAACCUGGGAACUGCAUCCGAUACUGGAUGGCUUGAAUCCGGGAGAGGGAUGCAGAAUUCCAGGUGUAGCGGUGAAAUGCGUAGAGAUCGGGAAGAACACCCGUGGCGAAGGCGGCGUGCUGGGUUGCAACUGACGCUGAGAUGCGAAAGUGUGGGGAGCAAACGGG
rnacentral:rRNA from 1 species